rnacentral:rRNA from 1 species
AUACUGUGAAACUGCGAAUGGCUCAUUAAAUCAGUUAUCGUUUAUUUGAUAGUACCUUACUACUUGGAUAACCGUGGUAAUUCUAGAGCUAAUACAUGCUGAAAACCCCAACUUCGGGAGGGGUGUAUUUAUUAGAUAAAAAACCAACGCCCUUUCGGGGCUUCUUGGUGAUUCAUGAUAACUUAACGGAUCGCAUGGCCUUGCGCCGGCGACGGUUCAUUCAAAUUUCUGCCCUAUCAACUUUCGAUGGUAAGGUAUUGGCUUACCAUGGUUUCAACGGGUAACGGGGAAUUAGGGUUCGAUUCCGGAGAGGGAGCCUGAGAAACGGCUACCACAUCCAAGGAAGGCAGCAGGCGCGCAAAUUAUCCAAUCCCGACACGGGGAGAUAGUGACAAUAAAUACUGAUACAGGGCUCUUUUGGGUCUUGUAAUUGGAAUGAGUACAAUUUAAACCUCUUAACGAGGAACAAUUGGAGGGCAAGUCUGGUGGACAUUCAGCUCCCAAUAUGCUGACGCCAGCAAAAGUCGGGCAUCUUUUGAUGUUAUACCGGCUAGUCGAGUACCUGCUGAUUUGAUGGGGAGGUACCGGCGAGAUAACUGGGUCGGGGAAGGCUAAGGCAUCUGAAUAAGGUGCUAUGCUAAUCCCGAGCGGAGUUGCCAUAGAGCGAUUUAUGGACAGCCCGUGUAGAGCACGCAAAGGUAUCGGUCAACUCUAGUAGUUGGCUUAAGGGACGUGCCAUUCCCACUCGAAAGGGUGGCUGUCAGUAAUAGCGCCCAUCACGCGAAGGCUGACGGAUUUGGAUUUAAUUGGGCAGCCAAUUUUGUUCGAAUUGAUAAAUAAAGGCCAGCAGCCGCGGUAAUUCCAGCUCCAAUAGCGUAUAUUAAAGUUGUUGCAGUUAAAAAGCUCGUAGUUGAAACUUGGGUCUGGCUGGCAGGUCCGCCUCACCGCGUGUACUUGUCCGGCCGGGCCUUCCUUCUGGAGAACCUCAUGCCCUUCACUGGGCGUGUUGGGGACCAGAACUUUUACUUUGAAAAAAUUAGAGUGUUCAAAGCAGGCCUUUGCUCGAAUACGUUAGCAUGGAAUAAUAAAAUAGGACGUGCGGUCCUAUUUUGUUGGUUUCUAGGACCGCCGUAAUGAUUAAUAGGGACAGUCGGGGGCAUCAGUAUUCAAUUGUCAGAGGUGAAAUUCUUGGAUUUAUUGAAGACUAACUACUGCGAAAGCAUUUGCCAAGGAUGUUUUCAUUAAUCAGUGAACGAAAGUUAGGGGAUCGAAGACGAUCAGAUACCGUCGUAGUCUUAACCGUAAACUAUGCCGACUAGGGAUCGGGCGAUGUUCUUUUUCUGACUCGCUCGGCACCUUACGAGAAAUCAAAGUUUUUGGGUCUGGGG